rnacentral:lncRNA from 1 species
UUUUGAACACAAAGCACCAAAUUGGACGAAUUUGGGUUUUAACUUGUACCAAAACACUUAAAAACAUAAACCAAAACACUUUCUAACUAAUCUAGGACUUCAAAAUAAAUGGGGAUUUGAUUUGGACGAAAAUAAACUAACAAAACAGAUUGCAAAGUAAAAAUUGAUUUGAAAACGAUUUUGGGGUUUUAAAUGGAUGAUGGAUUAGCUAGAGGCUCUUUCUCCACACAUGACAAGUAUGCAAACGACUCGAUUUCCAGUUAUUCAUUCAUUGAAUUAUGAAUGACAAUGCCCCAAAUUAACCGUGACAUCACUAGUUAAUUCUCAAGUUUUCCUUGUGUUAUUGGAUUGGAUGACAUCAUUCGACAACCCAAAGCAUUCUUCAAAAGUUCCCUACAUGACAUCAUAAUAAAGAUACAAUUAAAGAUCAUUACGUUCAAUGAAAACUAUAAGCAUUGACAAAGCAUUUGCAACUAUGACAUCAUGUCACCCAUGCUAGGAAUUGGACUUAACGCGAUCGUGACUAGCGACCUUCACUACAUAUGAAUAUAAGUGUGUGACGAUUAUGUGAAACAACCUUAUAUUCUAGCAUCAUAUUCAUGCAAGCCA